rnacentral:rRNA from 1 species
UGGGUGAUCUGCCCUGCACUUUGGGAUAAGCCUGGGAAACUGGGUCUAAUACCGAAUACACCUCACUGGUUGCAUGACCUGGUGGGGGAAAGCUUUUGCGGUGUGGGAUGGGCCCGCGGCCUAUCAGCUUGUUGGUGGGAUGAUGGCCUACCAAGGCGACGACGGGUAGCCGGCCUGAGAGGGUGACCGGCCACACGUGGGACUGAGAUACGGCCCAGACCUCCGUACGGGAGCA